rnacentral:rRNA from 1 species
AUCAACGCUGGCGGCGUGCCUAACACAUGCAAGUCGCACGAGAAAGGGACUUCGGUCCUGAGUACAGUGGCGCACGGGUGAGUAACACGUGAAUCAUCUACCUUCUAGUGGGGAAUAACUGGGAGAAAUCUCAGCUAAUACCGCAUAAUACCUACGGGUCAAAGCAGCAAUGUGCUUGAAGAGGAGUUCGCGGCAGAUUAGUUAGUUGGCGGGGUAAUGGCCCACCAAGACGAUGAUCUGUAUCCGGCCUGAGAGGGCGCACGGACACACUGGAACUGAAACACGGUCCAGACUCCUACGGGAGGCAGCAGUGGGGAAUUUUGCGCAAUGGGGGAAACCCUGACGCAGCAACGCCGCGUGGAGGAUGAAAUCCCUUGGGAUGUAAACUCCUUUCGAUUGGGAAGACUAUGACGGUACCAAUAGAAGAAGCCCCGGCUAACUUCGU